UACGGGGGGGGCAAGCGUUGUUCGGAAUUACUGGGCGUAAAGGGCUCGUAGGCGGCCAACUAAGUCAGACGUGAAAUCCCUCGGCUUAACCGGGGAACUGCGUCUGAUACUGGAUGGCUUGAGUUUGGGAGAGGGAUGCGGAAUUCCAGGUGUAGCGGUGAAAUGCGCAGAUAUCAGGAGGAACACCGGUGGCGAAGGCGGCUCUCUGGGACGGUACUGACGCUGAGGUGCGAAAGCGUGGGGAGCAAACAGG
rnacentral:rRNA from 1 species